AUUUGCACUUGUCGGGGAAGGGUGAGAACCUUCGAUUAAGGUUCGACUCGAGCGAAAGCGAGAGAACGUUGCCAACGGCAACGGCCCGUAGGGUGAGGAGCGAAGCGACGAAUAAUCCUUCCCCCACACCAU
rnacentral:sRNA from 1 species